UCUUGGUCAUUUAGAGGNAGUAAAAGUCGUAACAAGGUCUCCGUUGGUGAACCAGCGGAGGGAUCAUUACCGAGUUUACAACUCCCAAACCCCUGUGAACAUACCAAUUGUUGCCUCGGCGGAUCAGCCCGCUCCCGGUAAAACGGAACGGCCCGCCAGAGGACCCCUAAACUCUGUUUCUAUAUGUAACUUCUGAGUAAAACCAUAAAUAAGUCAAAACUUUCAACAACGGAUCUCUUGGUUCUGGCAUCGAUGAAGAACGCAGCAAAAUGCGAUAAGUAAUGUGAAUUGCAGAAUUCAGUGAAUCAUCGAAUCUUUGAACGCACAUUGCGCCCGCCAGUAUUCUGGCGGGCAUGCCUGUUCGAGCGUCAUUUCAACCCUCAAGCCCCCGGGUUUGGUGUUGGGGAUCGGCGAGCCUCACGGCAAGCCGGCCCCGAAAUCUAGUGGCGGUCUCGCUGCAGCCUCCAUUGCGUAGUAGCUAACACCUCGCAACUGGAACGCGGCGCGGCCAAGCCGUUAAACCCCCAACUUCUGAAUGUUGACCUCGGAUCAGGUAGGAAUACCCGCUGAACUUAAGCAUAUCAAUAAGCGGANG
rnacentral:rRNA from 1 species